CCCACUUGACCGCAGCUGUUGCAGCAGCACACCUCCGGCUCUGUUCAGUCCAAAUGCCAGUUCCUGUCGACGCAGCGCCAGCGCCAUGCCAGAUUAUCAAGGAGGAUGCUGAUAAGUGCCUUCAAGAAAAGAACGUGGAGGACUGCAAGGACCUGAUGGAUGCCUUCCAGGCCUGCAUCAAAACUCUCUCUGAGGGAUCAUGAUAAAUGAAGAAACAUGGAUUCAAAUUACUAAGAAUUGAAGCUGACGGUCCGUGUGACCAGAGGACGAAAUGAAGGGUUAGAAAUAUUCCUUUUGUUAUUAUUCCAUCUGAUCCUGCUUGUGAAAACUUCGUCUGCAGUCUCUGGGAUGUCAUUCCCAGCUCCUGCUAAUCAGGGUCUGAGCAGUUACACCUGCGGCGGCUCCAAUUAAGUGCAGUCCCUGCACCUGGGAGGAGAACUACAUAUACCAGCCUCUCCCAGCGUGUAACCGCCAGAUUUUUGAAUCUGCCUCAUCCCUGUGGUUCUCCACCCUGAAUUCUGGACAUUGACCUCCUGCUUUGCUUCUCUUGACUGAGCCAGCCCCUCAAAGCCUGGAUCCCGGAUUCGCCUCUGCCUGAUAAACUGCUUACUGUAUAUGACCCAAGACCUGGCUUUAGAGUCCCCCUCUGUCUCUGCCCUGAACACCAUCUAUGUGGAGUGGAUCAUUCAUUCAGUGAUAUGGAUCACACAGACAGAGCCAUUGGAGCUUUUCACCAGUGCCAGUGCAACCUUGGGGUAUCUGAGAAGGUUAGUGUCUCUUAUUCAGUGUUCUCACAAUCUCACUGAGUUGUUCUUGGGCACAAACCCUGCACCCCCCCCCCCCCCC